rnacentral:rRNA from 1 species
GACGAACCGAGCGAACGUUAUUCGGAAUUACUGGGCUUAAAGGUGCGUAGGCGGCGCGGAAAGUGGGAUGUGAAAGCCCUCAGCUUAACUGAGGAACUGCGUCCAAACUACCGUGCUCGAGGGAGACAGAGGUCAGUGGAACUUCGGGUGGAGCGGUGAAUGCGUAGAUAUCGGAAGGAACAUCAGUGGCGAAAGACUUCCUGGACCAGUACCGACGUUCAGGCACGAAAGCGUGGGGAGCAAACAGG